rnacentral:rRNA from 1 species
UGGCAGAGGUUACUGCUAUCGGUGUUCGCCUAAGCCAUGCGAGUCAUAUGUAGCAAUACAUGGCGUACUGCUCAGUAACACGUGGAUAACCUGCCCUUGGGACCGGCAUAACCCCGGGAAACUGGGGAUAAUUCCGGAUAACGCAUAUUUGCUGGAAUGCUUUAUGCGUCAAAAGGAUUCGUCCGCCCAAGGAUGGGUUUGCGGCCUAUCAGGUAGUAGUGGGUGUAAUGUACCUACUAGCCAGCGACGGGUACGGGUUGUGAGGGCAAGAGCCCGGAGAUGGAUUCUGAGACAUGAAUCCAGGCCCUACGGGGCGCAGCAGGCGCGAAAACUUUACAAUGCGGGAAACCGUGAUAAGGGGACACCGAGUGCCAGCAUCAUAUGCUGGCUGUCCGGAUGUGUAAAAUACAUCCGUUAGCAAGGGCCGGGCAAGACCGGUGCCAGCCGCCGCGGUAACACCGGCGGCCCGAGUGGUGAUCGUGAUUAUUGGGUCUAAAGGGUCCGUAGCCGGUUUGGUCAGUCCUCCGGGAAAUCUGAUAGCUCAACUAUUAGGCUUUCGGGGGAUACUGCCAGACUUGGAACCGGGAGAGGUAAGAGGUACUACAGGGGUAGGAGUGAAAUCUUGUAAUCCCUGUGGGACCACCUGUGGCGAAGGCGUCUUACCAGAACGGGUUCGACGGUGAGGGACGAAAGCUGGGGGCACGAACCGGAUUAGAUACCCGGGUAGUCCCAGCCGUAAACGAUGCUCGCUAGGUGUCAGGCAUGGCGCGACCGUGUCUGGUGCCGCAGGGAAGCCGUGAAGCGAGCCACCUGGGAAGUACGGCCGCAAGGCUGAAACUUAA